CCCUCAGCACAAGUGGUGGUCAUUAUUAUUGGGCCUAAAGCGUCCGUAGCUGGCCUGUUAGAUGCCUGGGUAAAUCGAUGCGCUCAACGUAUCGAAUUCCGGGUAGACCGGCAGGCUCGAGACCGGGAGAGGCGUGAGCUACUCAAGGGUAGGGGUAAAAUCCUGUAAUCCUUUGGGGAGGACCAGUGGCGAAGGCGUCACGCUAGAACGGCUCUGACAGUGAGGGACGAAGCCCUGGGGCGCAAACCGGAUUAGAUACCCGGGUAGUCCAGGGUGUAAACGCUGCAGACUUGGUGUCGGUGAUCCUACGAGGGUUGCCGGUGCCGGAGAGAAGUUGUUGGGUCUGCCGCCUGGGGAGUACGGUCGCAAGACUG
rnacentral:rRNA from 1 species